CCCUUAGAUGUCCUGGGCCGCACGCGCGCUACACUGAACGGAUCAGCGCGUUUUCCCUUCCCGAGAGGGACGGGUAACCUGCUGAACCCCGUUCGUGGUAGGGAUCGGGGCUUGCAAUUAUUCCCCGUGAACCAGGAAUGCCCAGUAAGCGCAAGUCAUAAGCUUGCGUUGAUUACGUCCCUGCCCUUUGUACACACCGCCCGUCGCUACUACCGAUUGAACGUUUUAGUGAGGUACUCGGACUGAGCCUCAGAAGAUUCACGUCUUUUGUGCUGCUCGGGAAGAUUCCCAAACUUGAGCGUUUAGAGGAAGUAAAAGUCGUAACA
rnacentral:rRNA from 1 species